GACGAACGCUGGCGGCGUGCUUAACACAUGCGAGUCGAACGGAAAGGCCCUGCUUUUGUGGGGUGCUCGAGUGGCGAACGGGUGAGUAACACGUGAGUAACCUGCCCUUGACUUUGGGAUAACUUCAGGAAACUGGGGCUAAUACCGGAUAGGAGCUCCUGCUGCAUGGUGGGGGUUGGAAAGUUUCGGCGGUUGGGGAUGGACUCGCGGCUUAUCAGCUUGUUGGUGGGGUAGUGGCUUACCAAGGCUUUGACGGGUAGCCGGCCUGAGAGGGUGACCGGCCACAUUGGGACUGAGAUACGGCCCAGACUCCUACGGGAGGCAGCAGUGGGGAAUAUUGCACAAUGGGCGGAAGCCUGAUGCAGCAACGCCGCGUGCGGGAUGACGGCCUUCGGGUUGGAAACCGCUUUCGCCUGUGACGAAGCGUGAGUGACGGUAAUGGGUAAAGAAGCACCGGCUAACUACGU
rnacentral:rRNA from 1 species